rnacentral:lncRNA from 1 species
AUGCUCAUCUCUGCCACUUGCAGCUUGAGGCGCUCAGCCUCAGCUGUGAUGUCCAGCUGCCGCCGGCGCUCGGCCUCCAGCGUCUUCUGGAAGCCUUCAGUCUCCUCAGCCAGGCGCUGCUGCAUCUGCUCCUUGUCCUCCUGCAGCUUCUUGGCAUGUUCCUGUGCCAGAUCCUUCUGCUUCUGCAGCAUUUCAGCCUCGGCCCGCAGCCGCGUGGCCUCCUGCACCGCCUGCAUCUUCUCCUUCAGCAUCUUCUCUGCCAGCGCCCGCUGCUGCGCCAGGUCAUCCUCAGCCAGCUGCCGCAUGCGAGCGGCCUCCUGCGCCUCCACGCUCAGCCGGGCCACCUCCUCUGCCACCUGCUUCAUCUUCUCUGCCUCCUCCGCCAGGAACUUCUGCGUGUUGUCCUUGUCCUUGAGGAUCAGCGCCUUGUUCUCCUCCUCGAUGCGGCUCUUCAGCUUGGCCAGCUCCUCCAUUUGCACCCGCACCUUGAAGAGUUCCUCCUCCACCUGGGCCUUCUGCCGGACGGCGUCGGUCACCUCCUCCUUCAGCCGCUGCAGCUCCUCAUCCAGGAUGCCCUUCUGGUGGUCUGUCUCAUCCAGCUGCAACUUCACCUUGGUCAGCUCCUGCUCCACCUGCGCCUUCUGCCGCAGGGUCUGCUCGGCAAACUUCUUGUGCUUCUCCAUCUCGGCGUCGGCCAACUGCUUCUGCCGCAGGGCCGCCUGCUCUGCCUGCGCCCGUUUUGCUGCCUCCAGCUCGGCCUCCUUCCGCAGCUUCUCUGCGUCUGCCUGUGCCUGUGCCUUGGCCUGCGCCUCCUCCUCUGCCCGCUGCUUCAGCCGCUCAGCCUCCUCCACGCGCUGCCGGGACAAGCUGGCGUCCUGCUCGGCCUUGCCACGGGCAAACUCAGCCUCCUCAGCCGCCCGCCGGGCCCGCUCAGCCUCCUCGCGCAGCCGGUCCAGGAGGCUCUGCUCCUGCUGCCGCGUCUGCAGCAGCUCCUGCUCCUUCUGCUGCACGGCAGCCAGGUGUGCCUUCUCCUCUGCUGCAAUCCGCUUCUGCGCUGCCUCCCGCGCCAGCUGGAUCUGCCGCUCUGACUCCUUCUCCGCCAGUUCCUUCUGCCGCCGUGCCUCCUCCACCAUGGCCCGCAGCCGCUCCACCUCCUCCAGGGCCAGCCGCCGCUGCCGCCCGGCCUCCUCCUCGGCCGCCAGGAUGGCCUGCACCUUCUCUUCGGCCUCACGCCGGCGGCCCUCCUCCUCCAGCGCCAGCGCCCGCUGCCGCUCAGCCUCCCGCUCCGCCUGCUCCCGGCUGCGCUGCACCUCCUCUGCCUCCCCACGGAUGCGGUUCAGCUCCCGCUCCAGCUCGCUCUUGCCAGCUGAGGCCCUCUCGAAGCUGGCCUUGAGGGCACGGAUCUCCUCCUCCACCUGUCGCCGCUGCCGCAGCGUAUCCUCCACAAGACCCUUCUGCCUCUCCAGCUCGCUCUCUGAGGAGCGCUUCAGCAGGGCAAUCUUCUCCUCGAUGUCCUGCUUGUGUUGGGCCGCCUGCUCCUCCAGCAGCUUGCGCUGGUAGGCCUCAUCCUCUGCCAGCCGCCGCAGCCGCUCGUUCUCAGCCUCCUUCUCCUUCAGCGCGAUCUCCGCCUCUGCCUUCAGCCGUGAGGCCUCGUUGAUGGCCGCCAGCUUCUCCUUCAGGAUGCGCUCGGCCUCGGCCCGUUGCCGGGUGGCCUCGUCCUCUGCCAGUUGCCGCUGCCGCUUGGCCUCCUCGGAGAGGGCGCGCAGGCGGGCGGCCUCCUCGGCCAGCUCCCGCAGCUUGUUGGCCUCCGCCUCCAGCCGCUGCUUGGACUUCUCGCUGCUGGAGCGCGACUCCUCCUCUGUCUUGGCCUUGCUCUCCAGCAGGACCUCCAUCUCUGCCCGCAGCUUGGCCAGCUCCUCCUCCAGCUCUUUCCUCCUCUGGAUGGCCUCGUUUACCUCGCCCUUCAACCGCGAGAGCUCUUCUUCCAGGAGCAGGCGCUGCUGCUCCCCGUUCUCCAUCUCCGCCUUCAGCCGGAUCAGCUCCUGCUCCGCCGCCAGCUUCUGCUGGGCUGUGCCCUCUGCCAGCUCCCGCUGCUUUUCCAGCUCUUCCUCAGCCAGCUCCUUCUGCCGCACGGCCACCUCCUCUGCCUUGGCGCGCUUGCGGGCCUCGCGCUCUGCAUCCUCCUUCUGCUUCUCGGCCUCCUCCUGUGCCAGUGACUUCUUGUGGGCCACCUCUUCGGCCUGCAACCGCAGGCGCAGCGCCUCGUUGGCCUUCUGCCGCCAGCGCUCCAGCUCCUUCUCAGCCUCCUCCCGCGAGCGCUCGGCCUCCAGCUGCUGCUUCUUCAGCC